rnacentral:rRNA from 1 species
AAUGACGCUCGAACAGGCAUGCCCCAUGGAAUACCAAGGGGCGCAAUGUGCGUUCAAAGAUUCGAUGAUUCACUGAAUUCUGCAAUUCACACUACUUAUCGCAUUUCGCUGCGUUCUUCAUCGAUGCCAGAACCAAGAGAUCCGUUGUUGAAAG